rnacentral:rRNA from 1 species
GCGGCAAAAGCUCAAAUUUGGAAUCUGGCAUACUUUGUGUGUCCGAGUUGUAAUUUGAAGAUGGUAACUUUUGAGUCGGGCCUUGUUUAUGUUCCUUGGAACAGGACGUCAUAGAGGGUGAGAAUCCCGUUUGAUGAGUGCCCCGUUCUCUCUGUAAAGUGCUAUCGAAGAGUCGAGUUGUUUGGGAAUGCAGCUCUAAGUGGGUGGUAAAUUCCAUCUAAAGCUAAAUAUUGGCGAGAGACCGAUAGCGAACAAGUACAGUGAUGGAAAGAUGAAAAGAACUUUGAAAAGAGAGUGAAAAAGUACGUGAAAUUGUUGAAAGGGAAGGGCAUGAGAUCAGACUUGGGAUUUAGUUAUUGCUUACUCUUUUUGGGUGAGUAUUAUGCUAUUUUCUGGGCCAGCAUCAGUUUGGGUGGCAGGAUAAUCGUGUUGGAAUGUGGCUCUGGCCUUUGGUUCGAGUGUUAUAGCCUUCAUGGAUACUGCCUACCUGGACUGAGGACUGCGAUUAUAUCAAGGAUGUUGGCGUAAUGAUCUUAUGCCGCCCGUCUUGAAACACGGACCAAGGAGUCUAACGUCUAUGCGAGUAUUUGGGUGUUAAACCCCUAUGCGAAAUGAAAGUGAACGUAGUUAAGAGCCCUUUGGGUGCAUUAACGACCGAUCCAGAAGUUUUCUGACGGAUUUGAGUAAGAGCAUAGCUGUUGGGACCCGAAAGA